UUAUCGUCGGCCUGAAGGCCAGGGGCUGUAUCUGCAGUCGAACGAACUUCCGUUAAUUGAUUAUGACGUGCUUGCACUGAAUGAGAUUUUAACACGAAGUGAGUGGCGGACGGGUGAGUAACACGUGGGUAACCUGCCCAGAAGCAGGGGAUAACACCUGGAAACAGAUGCUAAUACCGUAUAACAGAGAAAACCGCCUGGUUUUCUUUUAAAAGAUGGCUCUGCUAUCACUUCUGGAUGGACCCGCGGCGCAUUAGCUGGUUGGUGAGGUAACGGCUCACCAAGGCGAUGAUGCGUAGCCGACCUGAGAGGGUAAUCGGCCACAUUGGGACUGAGACACGGCCCAGACUCCUACGGGAGGCAGCAGUAGGGAAUCUUCCACAAUGGACGCAAGUCUGAUGGAGCAACGCCGCGUGAGUGAAGAAGGGUUUCGGCUCGUAAAGCUCUGUUGUUAAAGAAGAACGUGGGUGAGAGUAACUGUUCACCCAGUGACGGUAUUUAACCAGAAAGCCACGGCUAACUACGUGCCAGCAGCCGCGGUAAUACGUAGGUGGCAAGCGUUAUCCGGAUUUAUUGGGCGUAAAGCGAGCGCAGGCGGUCUUUUAAGUCUAAUGUGAAAGCCUUCGGCUCAACCGAAGAAGUGCAUUGGAAACUGGGAGACUUGAGUGCAGAAGAGGACAGUGGAACUCCAUGUGUAGCGGUGAAAUGCGUAGAUAUAUGGAAGAACACCAGUGGCGAAGGCGGCUGUCUGGUCUGUAACUGACGCUGAGGCUCGAAAGCAUGGGUAGCGAACAGGAUUAGAUACCCUGGGUAGUCCAUGCCGUAAACGAUGAUUACUAAGUGUUGGAGGGUUUCCCGCCCCUUUCAGUGCUGC
rnacentral:rRNA from 1 species